CAAUGGGGGCAACCCUGAUCCAGCCAUGCCGCGUGAGUGAAGAAGGCCUUCGGGUUGUAAAGCUCUUUCGGCCGGGAAGAAAUCGUAUCAGCUAAUACCUGGUGCGGAUGACGGUACCGGCAUAAGAAGCACCGGCUAACUACGUGCCAGCAGCCGCGGUAAUACGUAGGGUGCGAGCGUUAAUCGGAAUUACUGGGCGUAAAGCGUGCGCAGGCGGUUUUGUAAGACAGGCGUGAAAUCCCCGGGCUCAACCUGGGAACUGCGUUUGUGACUGCAAGGCUAGAGUACGGCAGAGGGGGGUGGAAUUCCACGUGUAGCAGUGAAAUGCGUAGAGAUGUGGAGGAACACCAAUGGCGAAGGCAGCCCCCUGGGUCGAUACUGACGCUCAUGCACGAAAGCGUGGGUAGCAAACAGGAUUAGAUACCCUGGUAGUCCACGCCCUAAACGAUGUCAACUAGGUGUUGGGUGGGUAAAACCAUUUAGUACCGGAGC
rnacentral:rRNA from 1 species